UAAUACGAAGGUGGCAAGCGUUGUUCGGAAUCACUGGGCUUAAAGCGCAUGUAGGCGGCCUAGAAAGCGUCUUGUGAAAUCCCUCGGCUCAACCGAGGAAUGGCUCGGCGAACUUCUAGACUUGAGGCAGGUAGGGGCACGUGGAACUCUUGGUGGAGCGGUGGAAUGCGUAGAUAUCAAGAGGAACGCCGGAGGCGAAAGCGACGUGCUGGACCUGACCUGACGCUCAGAUGCGAAAGCCAGGGGAGCGAACGGGAUUAGAUACCCCGGUAGUCCUGGCCCUAAACGACGUCCACUAGGUUGAGGCUUCUCUGACGGAGUCUCAGCCGCAGCAAAAGCAUUAAGUGGACCGCCUGGGGAGUACGGUCGCAAGGCUA
rnacentral:rRNA from 1 species